rnacentral:rRNA from 2 species
AGACGGUAGGGUAUUGGCCUACCGUGGCUAUGACGGGUAACGGGGAAUUAGGGUUCGAUUCCGGAGAGGGAGCCUGAGAAACGGCUACCACAUCUAAGGAAGGCAGCAGGCGCGCAAAUUACCCAAUCCUAAUACAGGGAGGUAGUGACAAGAAAUAACAAUACAGAGCCUUACGGUUUUGUAAUUGGAAUGAGUUAAGUAUAAACCCCUUAACAAGUAUCAAUUGGAGGGCAAGUCUGGUGCCAGCAGCCGCGGUAAUUCCAGCUCCAAUAGCGUAUAUUAAAGUUGUUGCAGUUAAAAAGCUCGUAGUUAAUUUUCUGUUAAUUUUUAUAUACAAUGCUACGGUAUUUAUAUAAUAUUAACAUAAUUCAUAUUACUUUUUAGUAUAUGAAACUUUACUUUGAGAAAAUUAGAGUGCUUAAAGCAGGCUAUUGCCUUGAAUACUCCAGCAUGGAAUAAUAUUAAGGAUUUUUAUUCUUCUUAUUGGUUCUAGAAUAAAAAUAAUGAUUAAUAGGGACAGUUGGGGGCAUUUGUA